GAUGAACGCUAGCUACAGGCUUAACACAUGCAAGUCGAGGGGAAACGAUAGAGAAAGCUUGCUUUUUCUAGGCGUCGACCGGCGCACGGGUGAGUAACGCGUAUCCAACCUGCCCAUCACUUGGGGAUAACCUUGCGAAAGUAAGACUAAUACCCAAUGACGUCUCUAGAAGACAUCUGAAAGAGAUUAAAAGAUUUAUCGGUGAUGGAUGGGGAUGCGUCUGAUUAGCUUGUUGCGGGGUAACGGCCCACCAAGGCGACGAUCAGUAGGGGUUCUGAGAGGAAGGUCCCCCACAUUGGAACUGAGACACGGGUCCAAACUCCUACGGGAGGCAGCAGUGAGGAAUAUUGGUCAAUGGACGAGAGUCUGAACCAGCCAAGUAGCGUGCAGGAUGACGGCCCU
rnacentral:rRNA from 1 species